ACAUGCGCCGACAAUACACGGGGCUAAGCGUUGUACCGAAGCAGCGGACUGUUUUAUCAGUGGUAGGGGAGCUUUCCAUGCCGGGGCGAAGCCGACGGGCGACCGUCGGUGGACUGCAUGGAAGUGAGAAUGCUGGCAUGAGUAACGAGAGAGGGGCGAGAAACCCCUCCGCCGUAAGCCUAAGGGUUCCUGGGCAAGGCUAAUCCCCCCAGGGUCAGUCGGGAGCUAAGGCGAGGCCGACAGGCGUAGCCGAUGCACAACAGGCGGACAUUCCUGUACCACCGCGGAGCGUUACUACGACGGGGUGACGGAGAAGGGUAGCCGGGCGGGGUUCUGGACGUCCCCGUGAAAGCGCGUAGGCCGCAGGGCAGGCAAAUCCGCCCUGCAGCGAGGCCGAGACGUUAGACGAAGCUUCAUGUGAAGCCGGCGAGCCCAUGCUUUCGAGAAAAACCUCUAAGGAGCGAGGCGGUGCCCGUACCAAAACCGACACAGGUAGGCGGGUAGAGCAUACCAAGGCGAUCGGGAGAACCAUGGUUAAGGAACUCGGCAUACUGACUCCGUAACUUCGGGAGAAGGAGUGCCCCCGCCUGUGAGGUCCCACGCGGACGGAGCGGGAGGGGGUCGCAGCGAAACGGCCCAAGCGACUGUUUACCAAAAACACAGGACUCUGCAAAGCCGCAAGGCGACGUAUAGGGUCUGACGCCUGCCCGGUGCUGGAAGGUUACGCGGAUGAGUUAGCGCAAGCGAAGCCCUGAAGCCAAGCCCCAGUAAACGGCGGCCGUAACUAUAACGGUCCUAAGGUAGCGAAAUUCCUUGUCGGGUAAGUUCCGACCUGCACGAAUGGCGUAACGAUCUCCACACUGUCUCGGCCAGAGACUCGGUGAAAUUGAAGUCGCGGUGAAAAUGCCGUGUACCCGCAGAAAGACGGAAAGACCCUGUGCACCUUUACUAUAGCUUGACAUUGGAUUUUGGGCCUACAUGUGUAGGAUAGGUGGGAGGCUGUGAACCCUGUACGCCAGUAUGGGGGGAGCCAUCCUUGAAAUACCACCCUUGCAUGUUUAAGAUCCUAACUUCUUCCGGUUAUCCCGGAGAAAGACAGUGUCUGGCGGGUAGUUUGACUGGGGCGGUCGCCUCCUAAAGUGUAACGGAGGCAUGCAAAGGUUCCCUCAGCCUGAUCGGAAACCAGGCGCUGAGUGCAAACGCAUAAGGGAGCUUGACUGUAAGAGAGACAUCUCGAACAGGAACGAAAGUUGGCGUUAGUGAUCCGGUGGUCCCGAAUGGAAGGGCCAUCGCUCAUUGGAUAAAAGGUACGCCGGGGAUAACAGGCUGAUCGCAUCCAAGAGUUCACAUCGACGAUGCGGUUUGGCACCUCGAUGUCGGCUCAUCACAUCCUGGGGCUGAAGCAGGUCCCAAGGGUACGGCUGUUCGCCGUUUAAAGUGGUACGCGAGCUGGGUUUAAAACGUCGUGAGACAGUUUGGUCCCUAUCUUCUGUGGGCGAAGGAGAAUUGAGAGGGCCUGUCCCUAGUACGAGAGGACCGGGAUGGACGCACCCCUGGUGAUCCUGUUGUCGCGCCAGCGGCAUAGCAGGGUAGCUAUGUGCGGAAGGGAUAACCGCUGAAAGCAUCUAAGCGGGAAGCCUGCCUCAAGAUAAGUUCUCCCCUCGAAAGAGCUGAAGGGCCCGGGUAGACUACCCGGUCGAUAGGCUGGAGGUGUAAGCGCGGCGACGUGCUCAGCUGACCAGUACUAAUAGCCCGAGCGGCUUAUUU
rnacentral:rRNA from 1 species